rnacentral:lncRNA from 1 species
CAAAACCACAUUCCUGCUGCUGUCAGUUAUGAUGCACUGAGAAAACUUCAGAGACCUAAACUUUUUCCAGAGAAGAGAAGCUUUACUGGUGUUCCAGCCCUAAGAAACCUUUGUUCAACAAAACUGCAGAUGCUCUGUUGAAUCCACUGGAGAUUGUUCUGAUACUAAGGACAAGUAUCAAACAUCUUUCCUGUGAAAAAUUCCCUCUCCUAGUACUUUAGUUCUGUGGAUCCAAAAUUUAUAGCAUUCUUCUACCACCACAGGGGCUCAUAUGACAUUAACAGACAAGACACUUUUCAGAAAGACAGGUUGUUCUUUUGGGCCACAUCUAAGAAAUCUUUGUCUAGCCAAAAGCCACAAAUAAUUUCUCAUUUUUUGGCUUCUGGAAGAUGUACAGUUAAAUGUUAUAUUUGGGACUGUUAUCUAAUUUGGUUAAAUUGCACUCUACAAUAUGGUAUUUGAAUUGAUGAAAAAUUAGUAAAUGUUAAUAUUUUUUAAAGUAGCCAAAUCUUGCAAUUUAUAUAUAAUAGAGAAGACUAGAAAAUCCCCCAUAUUUAUUUCCUCUUACUUCGUACUACUAAAAUUUGUAUUUAGGCAUUUGGUUUCUCAGAUAAACAUUACAUUCCCCAGUAUAUGGUUCUAUCUGGCUUGGUGACGACAUGUUGAACAUUAAGAUGUGAGCAGAAGUAAUACAUACACACUCUUUUUCAUGUCUUUAAUUGAAUGGGAUAUUGGCCCAUUUUUUCUUCCAGUUUAUUACACUGAAUAUUGACAUGUUAUUUUCCAAUAUUGAGACAAUCAAUGACAAGACUUUAAGAGUAACAAUGUAAAAAUACAGAAGUUGUCUGAGUUUAUCAACAAUCCCCUGGAUUAGAACCCCCUACCAGUUCUAGGUCAUCUAAUAUAUAGACAUUGUGUUCAGUAGAAAUAAAUAUAUAUAU